ACCAAUGUCAUCUUCGCUGAUGUUGGGGAAUUCCAAAGAAUCAGUAGCCACUUCCCACUUUACAGACUUCUUAUCCAGACAGUUUUCUUCAACAAAUGUCUUUAAAGAGUUAACUUUUGUUGACAAAUACCUCAUUUUGCAUGCAAGGGCCAUGUCUUCAUCUUCACUUCCUGUCGACAGAGGCUUGCAGUAACGGUUGGAGAGGGCACACACGAUGCGCACAUAGUCACCGAUAAAUGGCACUUGAUUGGUCGGAAGAACAUGAGCAAGGUACUUCCAUCGCUUUAUUCUUGCAUUGGCUGCCUCAACGACCCAACGAAUCUGAAAAGUUAAGAACAAGCACCACUCAUAAAAAAGGUCUGGUAAUCAAAAUAUGAAAACAACUAACCUUGGUGACCAGACGAGAGGCAUUGGCAUCUAAGGUUGUCAUCUGCUUCUGCCCUCUGCUCAUCAGGCGAGGCAUUUCGGCCCUUAUUCCCAGCUCCUCGAGCAUAUCGACUGAAUCUCGGAAGCCUCUGUCUACAACAAAAACAUCAUCUUCAUGGAACCAGCCCUUCAGAUCUUCUACAUUGGUAUGAAGCAUAUGGUUGAGGAUAGUGGCAUCAUUAUUCCUAGCUAGUCCAAGAUGAUGUGGUACAAAUGACUUCAUGCGUGCUGUAAGGACUGAUUUUACUGCUCUACAGAGGGAAGACUUUGAAAUUCCAAAAAUCGUGGCCAGAAGUUGAUUUGACAUUCCUGAUCUCAGUUUCAGAGGAAAGAUUCCAAGUGACAUCCUUGUGCCUCAGUUUUGUGUGUUUCGAAUAUCACUGGAAAUAAAGGAAUGGAGGUCUUCAAAGUUUUCUUUAGAGAUACUAGUCAGUGCCAUAUAAUCACUGUUGCUCAUGGUAGACAGUUCAAAAGAAAAUCUGCUUUUUGAGGUCUGGAGGGCAUAAUUUCGUAUUUUUUGGAUCAGUUCCAGCCCUGUCGACUUGUUUACAAAUGAAGACUCGAAUGUCUGUAUUUUGGUCAAAACACCAGGUCUGAACUCUCCUUCAUCAAUGUGGGAUGGACAACAUCUGCUUCCAGGUGGGAUGAUGAUUUCAUGGUGAAGAAAGGCUGAAAAUCUAGCUGCUGAAGACACGACAACAAGUUUAGGACCCGGUCGCUUGCAGAUUAAGCAGUAAGCAUGUGAAGAAGGUGUUCUCUGGAGAGGCAAAGAUAUAGAUGGUGGACUGCACAUUCCUGGUUGUAGAGGCCGAGACACAGGAAGGGAACUAGACUUCUGCUGGCAUGUUUUCUGGUUUCCAUGGUAGCGAUGUCUUCACUUUUUGCACAAAAUGUCAUUUGAGUUUGCCUCAACAAGAAAGUUCUUUCUGAGGAAGCGACGGAUUGCUGUUGACUCACAUUUUUUUCUGUCAUUUGGCCUUGUUCUUUUUUUGCAAAGGAUGCAUGGGAAAAUCUUUUUACUCUCUGUUUUCACUUGAUCUUUAUUCAUUUUUAUGUUCUGAAAUUACAAAACAAAAAUGUAGUGAUACACAACUUUAGUGUUCACUAAAAAAUAAAGAUAUCAUUUUAUAUGUA